UACGGGGGGUGCAAACGUUGCUCGGAAUCAUUGGGCGUAAAGCGCACGUAGGCGGUCCCUUAAGUCGGGUGUGAAAGCCCUCGGCUUAACCGAGGAAGUGCAUUCGAAACUGGGGGACUUGAAUACUGGAGAGGAUGGCGGAAUUCCCGGUGUAGAGGUGAAAUUCGUAGAUAUCGGGAGGAACACCAGCGGCGAAGGCGGCCAUCUGGACAGAUAUUGACGCUGAGGCGCGAAAGCGUGGGGAGCAAACAGGAUUAGAAACCC
rnacentral:rRNA from 1 species